UUGACAAGGGGAUUGAAAAUCCCCGUGUCCGUGGUUCGAUUCCGAGUCCGGGCACCACUUAUUC
rnacentral:tRNA from 1 species